GGAAUUGUUCGCAAUGGGCGAAAGCCUGACGACGCAACGCCGCGUGGAGGAUGAAGAAUUUCGGUUCGGAAACUCCUUUCGACCGAGAUGAACAUCCCGCAAUUUAAUACGUUGUGGGACUGACAGUAUCGAGAUAAACAGCCCCGGCUAACUCUGCGACAGCAGCCGCGGUAAUACAGGGGGGGCAAGCGUUGUUCGGAAUUACUGGGCGUAAAGGGUUCGUAGGUGGCCAACUAAGUCAGAUGUGAAAUCCCUCAGCUUAACUGGGGAACUGCUUCUGAUACUGGUUGGCUUGAGUGCAGGAGAGGAAUGCGGAAUUCCAGGUGUAGCGGUGAAAUGCGUAGAUAUCUGGAGGAACACCGGUGGCGAAGGCGGCAUUCUGGACUGUAACUGACACUGAGGAACGAAAGCCAGGGGAGCAAAC
rnacentral:rRNA from 1 species